GUCCACGCCGUAAACGAUGAAUGCCAGUCGUCGGGUAGCAUGCUAUUCGGUGACACACCUAACGGAUUAAGCAUUCCGCCUGGGGAGUACGGCCGCAAGGUUAAAACUCAAAGGAAUUGACGGGGGCCCCGCACAAGCGGUGGAGCAUGUGGUUUAAUUCGAAGCAACGCGCAGAACCUUACCAACCCUUGACAUGGCAGUGACCGUUCCAGAGAUGGUCCUUUCUCGCAAGAGACACUGCACACAGGUGCUGCAUGGCUGUCGU
rnacentral:rRNA from 1 species